rnacentral:rRNA from 1 species
AGAGUUUGAUUAUGGCUCAGGAUGAACGCUAGCUACAGGCUUAACACAUGCAAGUCGAGGGGCAGCAUUGGAGUAGCAAUACUCAGAUGGCGACCGGCGCACGGGUGAGUAACACGUAUCCAACCUGCCGCUUACUCGGGGAUAGCCUUUCGAAAGAAAGAUUAAUACCCGAUGGUAUAAAGAGUUCGCAUGUUCUCUUUAUUAAAGAAUUUCGGUAAGCGAUGGGGAUGCGUUCCAUUAGAUAGUUGGCGGGGUAACGGCCCACCAAGUCUACGAUGGAUAGGGGUUCUGAGAGGAAGGUCCCCCACAUUGGAACUGAGACACGGUCCAAACUCCUACGGGAGGCAGCAGUGAGGAAUAUUGGUCAAUGGACGCGAGUCUGAACCAGCCAAAAGUAGCGUGAAGGAUGACUGCCCUAUGGGUUGUAAACUUCUUUUAUAAGGGAAUAAAGUGAGGGACGUGUCCCUUUUUGUAUGUACCUUAUGAAUAAGGAUCGGCUAACUCCGUGCCAGCCGCCGC